CGUGGAGACAGGUGGUGCAUGGCUGUCGUCAGCUCGUGUCGUGAGAUGUUGGGUUAAGUCCCGCAACGAGCGCAACCCUCACCUCUUGUUGCCAUCAGGUCAUGCUGGGCACUCUAGAGGAACUGCCCCGGUCAACGGGGAGGAAGGCGGGGAUGACGUCAAGUCAUCAUGCCCCUUACGUCCUGGGCUACACACGUGCUACAAUGGCCGGUACAAAGGGAUGCCACACCGCGAGGUAGAGCUAAACCCAAAAAGCCGGUCUAAGUUCAGAUUGGAGUCUGCAACUCGACUCCAUGAAGGAGGGAUCGCUAGUAAUCGCGUAUCAGCACGACGCGGUGAAUACGUUCCCGGGCCUUGUACACACCGCCCGUCACACCACGAAAGCCUGCUGUACUCGAAGUCGCUGAG
rnacentral:rRNA from 1 species